rnacentral:rRNA from 1 species
AACGAACGCUGGCGGCAUGCCUAACACAUGCAAGUCGAACGAGACCUUCGGGUCUAGUGGCGCACGGGUGCGUAACGCGUGGGAACCUGCCCUUAGGUUCGGAAUAACUCCCCGAAAGGGGUGCUAAUACCGGAUAAUGUCUUCGGACCAAAGAUUUAUCGCCUUUGGAUGAGCCCGCGUUGGAUUAGCUAGUUGGUAGGGUAAAAGCCUACCAAGGCGACGAUCCAUAGCUGGUCUGAGAGGAUGAUCAGCCACACUGGGACUGAGACACGGCCCAGACUCCUACGGGAGGCAGCAGUGGGGAAUAUUGGACAAUGGGCGAAAGCCUGAUCCAGCAAUGCCGCGUGAGUGAUGAAGGCCUUAGGGUUGUAAAGCUCUUUUACCCGGGAUGAUAAUGACAGUACCGGGAGAAUAAGCUCCGGCUAACUCCGCG